GUCUUGUAAUUGGAAUGAUGGGAAUCUAAACCCCUUCCAGAGUAUCAAUUGGAGGGCAAGUCUGGUGCCAGCAGCCGCGGUAAUUCCAGCUCCAAUAGCGUAUAUUAAACUUGUUGCAGUUAAAAAGCUCGUAGUUGAAUUUCUGCUGUUUCGUUGACUGCGCUUGGCGUUUGUCAUCGUUGCGGCUUGGUUGGGUUUCGAUUAUUCGUUUCCCGGCGUUUACUUUGAGAAAAUUAGAGUGCUUGAAGCAGGCUUUUGCCUUGAAUACUUUAGCAUGGAAUAACGGAGUAGGACUUUGGUUCUAUUUUGUUGGUUUUAGGAGCCAGAGUAAUGGUUAAUAGGAACAGUUGGGGGCAUUCGUAUUUGACUGUCAGAGGUGAAAUUCUUAGAUUUGUCAAAGACGAACUACUGCGAAAGCAUUUGCCAAGGAUGUUUUCAUUAAUCAAGAACGAAAGUUAGGGGAUCGAAGACGAUCAGAUACCGUCGUAGUCCUAACCAUAAACGAUGCCGACUAGAGAUUGGAGGUCGUCAGUUUGAACGACUCCUUCAGCACCUUGAGAGAAAUCAAGGUCUUU
rnacentral:rRNA from 1 species